rnacentral:lncRNA from 1 species
AGGUUUGAAGGAGGCCUGGGGAGCCGAGGUAAUGUCAGGUGGACAUAAAAGUUGGAGUAAAUUUUUUUAACCUUGUGAAGUCUCACUUUUAAGUCCUUGCCAUGUUGACUUUUUUUAAUUCUGCACUUUGGCAAACAAUGAUAGCACAGCAGGAGGUGCCUGGUGUGGUGGGCAGAGCAGUGUCUAGGGGGUUGAAGGGCCUGGGGCAAUGCCUGUGCCCCGUGUGACCUGCUGGGAGAUGAUUACAGCUGACUUCGAAUGCAGACAAGGUGAAUGGAGGCUCUUGAAGGGGCUGUGCACAGUGUUUGUAGAGCCUGGGUACUGAGGGUUCUGUUGGUCCUGUGUGAGAGGGUGAAGAACACAUCUUUAAUGCCAGCACUCCCUGAGGCAGAGGCAAACAAAUCUCUGGGCUUGAAGCCAGCCCGAUCAAUAAGUUCCAGGGCUACACAAGAAAAAACAAAAAAAAACCUGCCUGGAAAACAAAAGGGUGAAGCUGAUUGGGAGGUGGGUGGUGGGUAUUGGGAGUUUGAGGAGAGAGAUUUCGGGGUGAGUUCCUCCAGAGGUGAUUGCAAGCUGACCAACAAAGGGUGAAGGACAGGGAAGGUUUCUGUAUUCUUUAAUUUUUUUUUUCCCUCUUUUGGUUUUUGGAGACAGGGUUUCUCUGUAUAGCCCUGGCUGUCCUGGAACUCACUCUGUAGACCAGGCUGGCCUUGAACUCAGAAAUCCGCCUGCCUCUGCCUCCCAAGCGCUGGGAUUAAAGGCGUGCACCACCACGCCGGGCAGAUUUCUGUAUUAAUUAAGAAGUGUCUUCUGCUCACUCAAGGUGAGAAUUUGAAUAUUUGGAAGCAUAUAGGCAUGUGCUGGACCAGAAGUGCUUGCUGCCCUUAUCUGUGAGGCAGUCUAGUACUGUCUGAAUCCCAGUCCCUCCAAACUGCUUUAAGUGUUAGGAGUCGGUUCUUUAUAAUUUAAGUUAGUGCUUAAGUCAGAAGGCAAGGUGGGCGUGGGGCCACACUUUGUAGCUGAGCAUAGGUCCCUUGCCUUGUCACCAUAACCAACCUGGCAUCAUGCACCUUUAGAACUCACAGCUUGACAGUAAAACAGGCUC